AACCUUGUCUCUCUAUUAGUCGUCUAUAAUAGAGAUUUUACUACACUUAUAGGAUGAUCUAAUAAUGGCCACUGUCAUGCAAUUGCGUAAACACUUACAAAACUACAGUUGAAAUAUAGAAAUAUUCAAGACGAGUCGAGAAUGGAAGGAACGUUACAUUAAAAAUUAGCAGCUUCUUAAGGAAAUUUCAUUCAAAGCCAUUUUUCCAACGCCUCUAAUUGUCGCAUUCAUGGAAGGAGAAGUGGCGUGGUUGGCAUCGGUAGAUAGAAAUGCUACAGGUCGUCUUCUAAUGUCGUCUAGAGGGCGAGACAGAGAGAGAAAUGUAAAGAGAUCGAGAGAAAGGGUCCGGAUACCGUACCGUUAUGAUCAUUUUACCGUAUAAAAUCACGAUUCUACGUUAUAUUCGCGGAGCAUAAAAAUCAGUAAUAAAAUGUACGGAUUUUUCGGUACCUUAAAUCUACAGUUUGUAAAGUUCAAAAAAUGUAUAGCAGAUACAAAAAUACCUACCGCGGCUACUUACGUACGGAAGUUAACACAAAUCUUAGAAGUACGUUUAAUCGUGAAAUGAACUUGUAAGAGACUCGCGAGCAUAGAGUAGGCCAGCGCGUAUGCUAUUCAUUGGGAAGGUGCCCAGUCUUCAUAUGUUCGUUCAAUCUCCGAAGAAGUUUACUUUGCAUUUACCUGGUGCGCUUUUUUUUUUUUUACUUACGACCAAACCGUGCGCAAGUAUCGUAUGCUUUAUACUUUAUAU
rnacentral:lncRNA from 1 species